CCGGGGGCGCGGGAGGCGCCGCUGAGGGCGGCGAUCGGCGGCGCGGCCCCGGGGCGCUUCAGCGGGGCUGCUCUGCGCCUUCCCCCGAGCCUGUGGUAGGGAGAGAAAGGCACAGCCUCCCGCGAGGCCCCCUCUGGAAAAUAGCGCUAAUUUAAAUCAAAUAUCUUCUGGGAAAAUUUGCUUCCUCGCCUCGGUUUGUUGUCGCGUCCCCAGACUGGCGCCGGCAGCCGCCGAUGAGCAGGGAUCUCAGAGGCAGGGGAUGCGCCCGGGGCAGAGGCUUCCCGGGGUGGCGAGGAGGAGGAUGGCGAGGCGGAGGAUGGCGAGGAGGAGGAUGGCGAGGCAGAGGACAGAAGGGAGAGCCCAAAAGGAUGCCCGAACCUGGAAAAUCUCGGCUAGUCCAAUCAACGAUGGACCAAUUUAUUCCCUAUAAGGGCUGGAAACUUUAUUUCUCUGAAGUUUACAAUGACAAGUCUCCUUUUGUCCAGAAGACUCAAGCGUUUGAAAAGUUUUUUAUGCAGCGCAUUGAGCUUUAUGAUAAGGAUGAAAUAGAAAGAAAAGGAAGCAUUCUCGUGGAUUAUAAGGAACUAAUCCAAGAUAGAGAACUGACUAAAUCGAUACCAAAUAUAUCUACUGAACUAAGGGAUAUGCCUCAGAAAAUACUGCAGUGUAUGGGCCUGGCAAUUCAUCAGGUGCUCACCAAGGACCUGGAAAGACACGCUGCGGAGCUGCAGGUGCAGGAGGGAUUGCCCCUGGAUGGGGAACCUAUCAUAAAUGUGCCUCUCAUCCAUGCCAGAGUGUACAACUAUGAGCCUCUAACCCAGCUGAAAAAUGUGAGGGCCAACUGCUACGGCAAAUACAUCUCCCUGCGUGGCACCGUGGUGAGGGUCAGCAACAUCAAACCCCUGUGCACCAACCUGGCCUUCGUCUGUGCCACCUGUGGGGAUGUGCAGGGGGUUCCUCUCCCUGAUGGGAAGUACACCCUUCCCACCAAGUGCCUUGUUCCCGAGUGCCGGGGCCGGUCCUUCACAGCCGACAGGAGCUCUCCUUUAACCACCACAGUGGACUGGCAGUCUGUCAAGGUGCAGGAGCUCAUGUCAGACGACCAGCGGGAAGCAGGACGGAUCCCGCGCACCAUCGAGUGUGAGCUGGUCCAGGACCUCGUGGACAGCUGUGUCCCAGGAGACAUGGUCACAAUCACAGGCAUAGUGAAGGUGUCAAGCACUGAGGAAGGAGCUUCUAAAAAUAAGAAUGACAAGUGUAUGUUCUUAUUGUACAUUGAGGCAAAUUCUGUCAGCAACAGUAAAGGACAAAAACUAAAGAAUUUUGAUGAUGAGACUUUUCAGAGAUCCUUCAUGGAGUUUUCCCUUAAAGACCUCUAUGCUAUCCAAGAAAUUCAAGCUGAGGAAAAUCUGUUCAGGCUCAUUGUGAACUCUCUUUGUCCUGCAAUCUAUGGCCACGAGAUUGUGAAGGCAGGUUUGGCCCUGGCCUUGUUUGGAGGAUGUCAGAAGUUUGUGGAUGACAAGAACAGAAUCCCAGUGCGAGGAGACCCACAUGUUCUGGUUGUUGGAGAUCCAGGAUUAGGAAAAAGUCAAAUGUUGCAAGCAGUGUGUAACAUCGCUCCUCGAGGUGUGUAUGUUUGUGGUAAUACUUCCACCAGCUCUGGCCUGACUGUUACACUGUCCAGAGAUGGCACUUCUGGAGAUUUUGCCUUGGAAGCUGGUGCCUUAGUGCUUGGAGAUCAAGGAAUUUGUGGAAUAGAUGAAUUUGAUAAGAUGGGAAACCAGCACCAGGCUUUGUUGGAAGCCAUGGAACAGCAGAGCAUCAGCCUGGCCAAGGCUGGCAUUGUCUGCAGUCUGCCAGCUCGGACAUCCAUUGUUGCUGCAGCAAACCCUGUUGGAGGACAUUAUAACAAAGCCAAAACAGUGUCUGAGAACUUAAAAAUGGGGAGUGCUCUGCUGUCAAGAUUUGAUCUGGUGUUCAUCCUGCUGGACACCCCGAACGAGGACCACGACCACCUGCUGUCCGAGCACGUGAUGGCCAUGCGGGCCGGCCGGCGCGCAGCCUGCAGCAGUGCCCUGGUGACCCGGGCCAGCUCCCAGGAGCACUCUGUCCUCCAGGCUACGUCAGACCGACCCCUGCUCGAGAGGCUGAAGAUCUCAGCAGGAGAAAACUUUGAUGCCAUUCCCCAUCAGCUGCUGAGGAAGUAUGUCGGAUAUGCUCGGCAGUACGUCCACCCAAACUUAUCUCCAGAGGCUGCACAAGUCCUCCAGGAAUUCUACCUCGAGCUCCGGAAACAGAACCAAGGAGCAGACAGCACCCCCAUCACCACGAGGCAGCUGGAGUCCCUGAUUCGACUGACAGAGGCACGAUCAAGGCUGGAAUUAAGAGAGAAGUCUACCAAGGAAGAUGCUGAGGAUGUAAUAGAGAUAAUGAAAUACAGCAUGCUGGGGACCUACUCGGAUGAGUUUGGCAAGCUGGACUUCGAGCGUUCCCAGCACGGGUCUGGGAUGAGCAAUCGGUCGCAGGCCAAGAGAUUCGUGUCUGCCCUGAACAGCAUUGCAGAGAGGACCUACAACAACCUCUUUGACCUGCAGCAGCUGCGGCACAUCGCCAAGGAGCUGCAGAUUCGGGUGUCUGAUUUCGAGAGCUUUAUUGGAUCCCUAAAUGAUCAGGGUUACCUUUUGAAAAAAGGUUCAAGAGUUUAUCAGCUUCAGACCAUGUGAGAAGAGUCACUGUGAUGAACUUCCUUCAGACCCAAUCGUUCCACUGGACUGAGGGACCUGCAGUGGGGAGGCACAUCCCGAGCUGAGCUGCACCUGGCACAGCCCUGGUGUUUGCUGGGGUGCAGAUACCCCUGAAGAAAAUAAAUUGGAAAGCUGCCACAGGACAAACUGACACAUGGUAUUGCUGCCUGGCUCAUCCUACAGGUCUGCCAUUCCAAAUGGGACUGUGCAGGGCUAUACUGCACCUCAUCAUCCUCGAGGAGUGGAAGAACAAUGUGUGCUCAGCACGAGUGAAGUGCUGAAUGCUUCCUGACUUUGAUGAAAUCAGAAUCAUGGUCUGGUGCAAUGAAAUGGCACGUGAGCAGCUUUCAGUGUAAGAUAUGAUGGAUCUAAAAAAGCAGAAACACUGAAGCUCAGUGCCUCAUCUUCUGGUUUAAGCGACAUCAGGGUCUGACGUGCACCAAGCUUCCACAGCCCUUGGGUACCAAAACACAAGCUUUGGAUGUCAAACAACAUGUCACACUUUUCAGUGCUGCCCAGCUGGGAACCUACCCCAAGGUACCAACCUACUUGAAACUGAAAACUGGUCUGAAGAUGAAAUGCUUUAAGUAUGAAAUUAUAGUUCUACAUCUGAGCUCUUAAGGGGCAAGGUCUGCUCUACCAACAAACUGGAAGCAGGUGUUAGAUACCGAUUUUAGCUUAGUACAGUGUUGGGGGAUAGGAACGCGCCUCAGGAGCAAAUAAAAGACUGCACCUGGAAAAGUAAA